ensembl:lncRNA
GGAUUAUAUUCUUAAAUUUAGUUACAGAACUUUCAGAAAGACAUCUACUUUGAUGAAGUCUAUUCCCCACUGCUGUGUACUCAAUGAUUGUAAAUAUAAAUGUUAUUAGAAAAUGAUCAGACAGGAGAGGGUUUUCAAGAAACACUGUUAAAUGUUCAGUUACUAUGCCACAUGUUAAAACAAGAUCUAGAGUGUGAUUAAAGUGGGUUCUUUAACAUUUUGAGAAAAGCCAAUUGAGUCUAAUAACAGAUUAAAUGCCAUGUUGAGGCUGUCAUUUUUAACAUCUACAUGGAUGUUAAAAUCACCCACAAUAAUUAUUUUAUCUGAGCUGAGCACUAAAUCAGAUAAAAAGUACAAGGCUAGGCAUCAGGCUUUCAAAUUAAUUAAAAGUCUGUCUUGGUCUUUGGUCUUUCUCUUGCAUUUCAAAGCUAAGUAAUAACAAACUGGCUAUAUGUCCUGUGAAAUGGUCAUUGAUCAAUGGUGGGUGAUCAGUGGUCAUGACAAUUUGCAUAUUAAUGAUCAAGGAACUGACCUCACAGCCCAUCGCUCAUUCGGUGGGCUAGUUCAGUCAUUGUGCAAAGGUACUGUUUAAAGUUGGGGAAACCUGCAGUCAGCUGAGACUGAAGAAGUCACUUGGAUGAGUAAACCAGGGUUUUAAUAGUUUUGCAAUUUUCAUUAGUUUUUAUUUUUAUUUAGUUUUGACUUCAGAUUUUCAAUUUUUUAUCAGUUUUAAUUAGUUUUUACCAAUUGUUUGCUAGUUUAGUUUAAUUUUUAUUUUUUUGAAAAUCCUUAGUUUCAGUUUAGUUUUGAUUAGUUUCAGUUAUAGUUUUAUUUGUGUUUGCAAAAAUUAAGUGUAACAAAAUCCCAGUUUCAUCAUAUCAGUCAUUCUCUUCUGCUUAUCCUUGGGUAUGUUGCUAUUCCAGCUACCAUACCCUGCACCCUGGACAGGUAGCCUGUCUGUCGCAGGGCUAACACGCAGAGACAGACAACUCACAUUCCCACCUAUGGGUUCUUUACAUAAAUAAAUAAAUAAAGGCAGAUGAACAACCAUUGAUACCAGGCAACUAUAAAAUGUAUAUCUUGGCCCCAAUGAGACUAUUAACUCUUGCAGCACCGGGUGUUCGUAAUUUUGGUUCAAGUGAAUUGAUAAACUUUUUGAAGGCAAUUGACUCACACAGUUAUGUAGAUAUCCCCGUCCUGUUGUCUCGGGAUGCAUCACGCUGCCUUGCCUGGGGUUAGCUUCUGUUUUCUGGGGAUGAGGGUUGAGUGUGCUCCCUUACCUUCUCAAGGUAAGCUAGGUUAGCCUUCUUGUGUCAGCUUUUCAAGUGCACUUUAAGGUUUGUGGGAUUUUUUUUCCCUUUAGAAAUGUCCCUCAUAAUUUAUCUCUUUCCACUACAAGACACUUGCUUUAUCCAAAACACAGUCAUAUUCAAAGUAAUCCCAAAUUGGACUCUGGCGCUUUCUCCAGACUUUUCCUGACAUGAUUCUGCGUGUGGACGGAGCAGCAACACAGACGACUCGACUAACGUACUGCCACCUGCUGGCAUAAUGAGACACAGCAAGAAAAAAAUCUGGAAACUAAAAUUCAUUUUCACCCUUGACUAUUGUAUGACACGCACACAUCAAUGAAAACGAAACACAUUUUUGCUAUAAAUUCAGUUAAUUUUAGUUAGUUUUGUGAACACUCAUUACAGUUUUAGUUAGUUUUCCUUUUUUUGUUUUUUACAUUUAUUUCCGUUAACGAAAAUGUUUUUUCACUUCUAGUUUUCAUUAUUUCGUUAGUUUUCGUUAACGAUAAUAACCUUGGAGUAAACGAAUCGUUUCUCCCUCUAAAAAAACACUAUGUCCAGAUGAAGAGAAUCAACUGUUUUUGGAAUUGUUUCUGUUGUGAG